AACGGGAUGCCUUUGAAAGCAUCGUUCUGCAGCGGAACUGCUCAGCCGGCCAAUCAGAAUACAGGGAACCGUGAAAGAGCCCCAGCUCUGUCCCUGUGUGAAUCUCAGGGCUGUUUCGAGGAUGAAAAGGAGGCGUUUAGCCCCAAGCCUCACGUGGAAACGUCUGAUGAGCCUUUGCCAAUAUGCUCGGGGCCUGGGGACGGCUGGGGUGACCCCAUCGCACGGCCGGGCCGUGGAAACAAUCUCAGCCCCGGAACCAGCGCCUGGAAAGUCCCGCGGUGGAUCCGCGUCGCGGGGGAGGAUUGGCUCAGCACUGGUCCUGCGGAAUGUGUUUUUAUCAAUGACUUGACGACGUGAAAAACAUGUUUAUAAAACGAGCAGAUGGCGCCGAGCUGAGAGGGAGGUGACGCAGUGACUCAGGAACCACAGGCUCUGGAGGCUGAACAAGAAUCGGUUACGGGAGAUGAACACAAGGCUCGAUUCUCCUGUUAAACUCGACUGUCACCAACGGGGGGUGGGGGGUGGGGGGUGCACAAGGCCCUGGGCUCCACCGAAGACCUUAAGGAAAAGACUCUGGAUGUUAGUGGGUUCGGCCUCAGAAUCAGCCAGCGCUGAGAUGUGCACCUGGCAGGAUGAAUGUAACUUAUGGUGGAUAAAGGGGGAGGCCUGAUCCAGGAAGAAGCACACUGUGGCCUGGGGCCCCACUGGAGGGUGGGUCUUCCAAGUCACGGGAAACAGUGCGCCCAGGAGAGGGUGAGCCCAGCUGCUGCCACCCCGAAGGCCAGGCUCACCCCACACUCUGUGAGACCCUCCCCACACGAAUAUUCUGUAAGUGGAAUUGGAAGGAGGAUACGAGAAGGAUGGACAGCCAUGCCACACCAGGCCAGACAUCUUACCAACCUAUCGCUUCAGUUUUAAGAAAGAGAGUAAAGAGGAUCUAAAAUCUGAACUUUGAGCAGCUGAGCUGUGUGGAAUGUCAACGUGGCUCCUGACAACCCCACCGGCACUGUUUGCACGGGAGGUCCUGAAGAGCUCACGGAAGGUGCACUUGCAGUUGUAGGUCAGAGAUGAUGCUCUUAGACAAUCUUUCCCUUCGAGAAGUAGCCUAAUGAGAAGCACUCUGUAGAUCUUCCUAAAAAAGAAUCCUCAGUCUCUGGCAGAACAGCUGCCCAGAACAGCUUCUGCCUGUGAGGUAGCAAAGAAAAAGGCCCACACAGAAUUUGCUGGGAUAUUUUCCUUCCAACACCAACAAACCGACAGCCUUCCCAAAUCCUAGGGGCAGAGUCAGCUGGCGCUGAGAUCAAAAGGGGUGGAGGGAAGGCAGCCAGGCUGGGAGUCUCUCUCCAGCAACUUUCUUGGCGUGGUGACAUAUAUGCCCAGAACCUUUUUCUAUGGGAGGAAAAAGAAAACCCUGGCUUAAUCAUCAGAGUUAGGAGAAUCACCCAUGUAUUCAUCUUUAAAAGCAAAUCAUGAUAAUUUUUGGUCACUCAGAAGUAACCAAGGCAAAAUAUUCCUCUUAGGGGACUCUGCUUAGAGUUUUGGGAGAGGAAAAAAUACUAAACCAAAGGUUUAUUUAGAAAGGAAUUGUUUUCUGAGUAUUCUAAGGAAAGCUAUGCUUAGCCAAAGUGCUUUAGCCCUUGUACAUGUUUCAAAUACUUCUGUAGGAGUUUGAAAUGGACAUGGAUUUUCCCAACACACAUGCACAAUCUCAGGUGAGCCCACGACAGCCUAUGAGGAUGGCACUGGGGAAUCUGGGCUUCAGCUCUGACGGGCCGGGCUGUAAACCCCAAAGUUCUUGUCGGCCAAGUGGGGGGGUUUCUUAUGAGAACCAGAAGUGGCACAUCCAUGGGCACGGGGGAUGCUGGCUCACGACGCCCCAGUAAUGCUGUGGUUAGGACGCCGCUCACGCAGCUGCAGCGCAGAGCAUGGGGGACGCUAGCUCACGAUGCCCCAGUGAUGCCGUGUUUAGGAUGCUGCUCAAGCAGCUGCAGCGCAGGGCCAGUGUGGUGACCCUGACUCCUGGGAAUGGUGAUCAGCUGGGCCUCUGCCUCAUUGGACCACGCCGCAAGGCAAGGGCCUGGGAGAUGCCCACAGCCGCGCCUCUGGCUGUGAGGCAGCUAUGAUCCUCCAGCAGCAAUGCCCUCAGAAGCUGGGAGAUGCGAACCCCACAUGACUCUCCUCCUCGCUGUCUUCCUGUCCCUGAGCCUUCAGCUCUUCGUUGUCUCUGUCUUGUCUCUCUGCAUUGUUUGUCCUGUUUCUCUCUCUCUCGUUAUUACAACAUAGAGCCAAAAAUACUUUUUUGUUUAGGAUAUGGCACCAAAAUAGUAUCAUAUCCCUGUUCUUAAUCUGAAAUGCAGACAAGCGAAAUGCUGCAUAAUUCUUUUUUAAACAUUCAAAAAACAGAAAAUGCACGUUAAGUUCUUUAAAAUUCUGAGAUAAUACAACUAGAUCUAGCAUGGUGCCAGCCAAGCAUUGCAUAAUGUGUGUUUCCUUCUCCUUUGGGGGCUCAUUCUGAUCAGGGUGCAUCUGGGAAGUCGGGCGACCGUGUCCAUCUCCUGGGUGGAAGAAUGACCCAGGGAAGUGCUCCAUGGGGAAGGCGGGGCAGGAGAGAAGGGAGGGGUGGUUCCAAGGACCCUUUCUAUAGACCUGGGAGUGCCCGGUGAGCAUGUGGAAAGGACGCAGUGGGAGUGGCAGGUGCAGAGGGAGGACUCGAAGGUUCUAUCCCGAACAGAGGACAGCGUGGCCGAGUACUCGUGCUUCCAUCCCCGCACAGAGGAUAGUGUGCACCCAGCAUGCGGACUCGCUUCCAUCACGACACAGAGGACAGCGUGGAGCCCAGCUCGAGUGCCGUCCACCCACCAUGACAGUGCGGCACGGGCCUUCCAAGCCACAGAGCCAUGGGGAAGCCAGUCCUCCUGGACCAUGUGUGGCUGUUUUGGAGCCAAUUGUGUCCUGUGAAGAGCGCAGCGGCGGCAGGUGAGGCAGGAGUGAAGAUGGAGGAGGCGGCCAUCUCUCUGGGGCCUGGCAACAGCGAGAGCUUUUGCCAAGCCACUGUCUCCCCGAGGACAAGAUCUCCUUCCCAAAGGCAAGAUGGCCAAGAGUAUGGAGAAGAAAGUAGGUAAUACAAGUUUGCUCAGAAUAAACCUAUGUGUUCAUG
rnacentral:antisense_RNA from 1 species